GAUGAACGCUGGCGGCGCGCCUAACACAUGCAAGUCGAACGGCACCUAUCUUCGGAUAGACGCGAGUGGCGAACGGCUGAGUAACACGUGGAGAACCUGCCCCCUCCCCCGGGAUAGCCGCCCGAAAGGACGGGUAAUACCGGAUACCCCGGGGUGCCGCAUGGCACCCCGGCUAAAGCCCCGACGGGAGGGGAUGGCUCCGCGGCCCAUCAGGUAGACGGCGGGGUGACGGCCCACCGUGCCGACAACGGGUAGCCGGGUUGAGAGACCGACCGGCCAGAUUGGGACUGAGACACGGCCCAGACUCCUACGGGAGGCAGCAGUGGGGAAUCUUGCGCAAUGGGGGGAACCCUGACGCAGCGACGCCGCGUGCGGGACGGAGGCCUUCGGGUCGUAAACCGCUUUCAGCAGGGAAGAGUCAAGACUGUACCUGCAGAAGAAGCCCCGGCUAACUACGUG
rnacentral:rRNA from 1 species